AAACAAAACAAAAAUAAUAAUAAUAAUAAUAAUAAUAAACUUGUACAAAAAUAAUAAACAAAACGCACCAUUUUUGGAUUGAAUCAUCAUUUUCAAAAACAUCACAAUCAACAAACGGAUUACUUCUGCAUUCGAUUGGAUAAAUAAAUAAUGUCAACUGUUCUCCAUUAUGGACUUAGCUGAUCAAAUCGAUGAUUAUAUUUGUUCAUUUGAAGGAAUCGGUGACUUAUCAAUGGACUCAUUAGCAAUGUUCAUAUUUAUUUGGGCCGUAUUGGCUCUAUUCUUAGUAUGGCUGUGUAAAUUUUUAUAUAAUAAAUAUAUGAAUAAGGAAACACCAAUUGUUAAUAGUCGAAAUAAUAGUGUUGUUACAACUGGUGCUAAAGUAAAUGGUGAUAAAUUACGACUAUCUGAACCUAAAGAAAUUCUAUCUAGUAAAGAUGUUAAGGAUUCUAAACCAUUAAGUGCCGGAGCUGGAGGAGGUCGUGGCCGAUCUGGCAUAGUUGGUGGACCAAAUGCUCCAUUAAGAAAACGUGUUGUUCGUCAAAGUUCGACUGGUCCAGAAACUAGGAAAAAACGAAUUGUUCCACCACCAGCGAAUGUUGUUGGACCAGAAACGACUUCCGUAACAUGGACAAGUCAAGUUUUUCGCUGGCUCUAUAGCGAUUUGGUGAUUGUCAAUGAGCUCCUAAUAUCAUGGGUUAUUGCACUCAAUGAUAACCUGAAGAAAUCUGUAGAAGAUCAUGGAGUCGCUGUGGAAAUUGUUCGUGUUCUUCCUGACAGUCCACCACCAGGAUUGUCAAAUAUAUUUUGUAAUUGUGAUGAAAACAACCCAGCCGAUAUGGUUACAACAUUCGAUGUUGAUGCCAUGCCAGUUUUGCAGGUCAAGACUUUCCGUCAAAAAUCGGGCAAAGUUGAUACAUCCCAUUACAAGGUGACAGUGUCACGUUUUCGUGCAAGAAUGACAUCAAAUAUGAAUUACAACGCAUUAAAAGGUGACAUGCGUGUUGAAGGAUAUCCUGAUAUAAGAAUUGCAAUGAAUAGUGUGGGUGCAAUUAAAGCAAUCGAUCAAGACGAACAACAAUUACAGGAUGUUAUAAGUGAAAUUUUAACAACAGCACUACGUGAAACUGUCUAUCCAUGUGACUUUUCAAUUUACUCAACAUGUCCCCGGGCCGAAAUCGAAACACCAGAAAUUCCUGUAAUAUUACCAGUUCAUUAUGACUCCUUGGCGCACAACAUGGAAAACUACAACACCUCUGGAUAUCAAAACCAAAUGGGAAAUUCGAUGCAAGCUAUGGCAUCUGGCAGACGAUUACUUGUCAAGAUUGUCAAAGGUGAAGGUUUAGCUGACGCAAAGGAUCCCUAUGUGGUUGUUGAAAUGGAUGAACCAGCCCAAAAGAACCAAACAGGAGCACGACAAGGAACAAAUCCAUAUUGGGAUGAACAUUUCUUAUUUGAACUGUCACCUCAAUCAGCUGAAAUUCUAUUUGAAGUCUACGACCGUCCAGCUAAUGCUAAUGAUCCGCCUAAAUUUCUUGGUCUUGGUUUGGUUGGCAUUGAUGAGUUGGCCGUUGGACCAGCUUCAUCGCAAACACUUGCCCUACAGCCACGACCUUAUGAGACGCAAAAAGUUGCUGGUGCAAUAAUGGUUGAUUUUGUGUUCAUUGAAGGUGCUGAAAUACCAGUCGGACCGAGACCUUAUAAAUUAAAAGAGGCUUUAAAAAUUAGCACACCAAUGAUAAAUGAACAUAUAAGGAAUGGAGCUGAUUUAGCUGAUGCAGCUGUCAGAGCAUUGCAAGACGGUGCAUUGACAAAUAACGGAAAUCCAAGCAAGAGUACACUGAUUAUACAUAGUGUACAGAGGAAUAAUAACAAUCCUCCAAACGCAUUCAAGGUUGAAAUUAACAAAGAAGGACAAAUUGAAGUCAAAGAAUCCCCAACAUCAUCAUCAGAUAUUAUUAUUAAUAAUACUGAUAGUGAAAUUCAAUCAAUUGUACAAAAUGAUGAAAAUAAUUCCGAACAGACUCAAUCAACCCCAACUGGAUUGGAUGAAAAUCAAUCUACGAACCAGGAUAUAUCGGUGACGACUGAUAUUACGGCAAGUCCCACUGAUAGUUAUCCACCAAACGAACCUGCCUUUAGUAUCGAUGAAACAGGUACAGGUAAUGGCAAGGAUUUAAAUGGAUCUUUUGACGAGUUUGGUCGCCCAAAUGCUGCCUCAUCGCCCAAUCAAAUGUCAAAUCGCCAAAUCAAUGGUAAUGGAAACUACAACAACAACGGCUACAAAAGCAACAGUCUACCUAGAAGUCAAACCCAUCCAACAUCAACAACACCAAUUCCUGAUGACUUGGACGAUCGUAGUCGAAGUAAAAAACGUAAUUUCUUUGGAACGUUGAAGAAGCGCUUGGGACGAUCGAAAACUCGAACACGAUCGGCAGAUCGUGAUGGAAUGAUACCUUUCGAUGCCAACAAUCUAAAUGGUGAUUCUAGAUCGUUGUCUGUUGAUCGUGGUGUAUUGUCGAAAAGCAAUUCGCUUGGUCCGAAAAUAAAUGUGACAUCACUUGACCAUUCAAGACGAUCCUCAAUUUCAGAAUCUUCUGCUAUCUCAGGUUUUUCAUCGGCUAGCAACAAAACUUAUGUACAUGAGGCAUCUACAUUGGUAUUGGAAACCAUUGAGAAUGGUGUCAAAAGGCAUUUUAUAGUUCCCCUCGCAAUAGCUCAGCGGCCUAAAUGGCGCCGCAAGGGCACAAAACUUCACAUAUACAACGAUCAUACGUUUGUUGCCAAACAUUUAAGCGGAAGCCGCCUUGUAUGUGCAAUUUGUACAAAAUCAAUCCCGCGACGACCUGGCAAACAGGGCUAUGAAUGUCGUGACUGCCAAAUGAUCUGUCACAAACAGUGUCAUGUGCGUGCACCACAAGCCUGUACGAAUCCAACAGUUCUAUCCAUGGAAUUGUCCACAUUACCGGAUGCAUAGUAAUUUUAUGUAGUGGUCAUCUUAAAACAAAAAUAAAAGUUCAUUUUCUCGUCCAUAUACAUUUAAAAUUUUAAAAACUAUUUAAAGAUAAACAAUUUUGUAAAUAAUUGACAAAAAAAAUGGCAAACACCAAAAGAAAAACGUCCUUGCUCUAAGUGCUCCAAGAUUAAUUUGCUAAAUUAAUUAAAAAUAAUAGUUUAAAUAAAUAUAUAAAAACAAAAUAACUAAGAAAAUGCGAACAUCAACUGCUCCUUCUCUACUUUAAAAACAACCCAGAUUACAAAACAAUGUGUUUUGUGAAAAUAUUCAGUGAAAAAUUUACGGAUCGAAAAUAAAUUCAGCAGCAGCAAAUGGAAGCAUACGAAAACUGUGAAAAAUUAAUACAAAAAAAAUACUUGAUAAUGCAAAAUUUAUAUACAAACAAAACAAAAAUAACAAAAAAAUAUUUAUUUUAUUUAAAAAUAACAAAAAACUAUUAAAUUUUCACAUUUUUAUGAAACAAAAAUAACAAAAAAAGCCUUGAAACAAAAAUUAAAAAAACGAAAAUAUAUUUCACAGUUUACAAUUUAAUAUGUAAAUUCAAAAAACAAGAAGAAAUUAAUUAAAUCUCGCACAUAUACAAACAAUACAAUACAUAGAAUAUUUUAUAAAUUUUUUUAUUUAUAUAGUUUUGUUAAAAGUUAAAAUUAAUUUUUAAACAAGUGAAUUGUGGCAAUCAAUGAGAAUAAAAAUUAUUUUCUAAUAAAUAUAGUUUCUUUUUUGUAUACAUUAUAAUUUUGUUAAAAUCUCAAUAAAUAUUAAUGUUAAAUGUCUUUUACACAAAUGAAAAAUAUUUAAAAUAAUAUAAAUAAAUAUAUUUAAUUUUAUUUUUAGUUAAACAUCGUAAUUUUUUACACGAAAAUAAUUGUUAAAAAACGUAAUAGCUUUUGUUGUAUAAUAAAAUGGUGUUUAUUUAAAUCUUUAUUGUCAAAUUUUUUAAAUUUUAUUUAAACAAAUAAGUAGGCAAACAUUUUUCAUACUUAAAUUUUAAAACAAACAUGAAAUUACACAAACAAAUUUCAUGUCUAAUGUGCAACCUAGAAUAAUAAAUUUUUAAAAUCUUAAAAAAAAAGAAAAAGUAUAUAUUAGCAAAAAUCUGUUGACUACAAACAAAAAAACUAAAAUCUGUUUAAAGUUAAACAAAAUCUUUCACAUUUUGCAGAGUGAAAUUCAUUAUUCCUAAAAAAGGCUUUAAAUGCCUUGUACUAAAUCUCAAGAGUAAAACAAAUAAUCUUUAUUACGACAGAUGAUUAUAUAUAAAAUUAAAAUAAAAAUUGUACACAAAAUCCUUUUUGAAAAACAAAAACACGCAAAUAAAAACGAAUAAAAAUGUUUAUAUUGGUUAAGGAUGAAAA